AGGGCACGUAUCCUUCCAAAUGGCUGCCAAACGUCCUUUUUGCUGGACUUAUCAACUACAUGGGCAAGACUCGCUUGUGUUGGCAAUCAAAAAUGAUUUCUGUGGCAUCUACUUUCUGAAGAGUCAUAACCUGUCUGGAUCCUGGCCUGCAAGACUCUAGGUUGGUUUCAAGAGCUGGAAAAUGGCCUGUCCAGAGAAGCAGAAGUCAGAGCCAUCCUAAAGGCUGCAACUACCCACUGCUGCAACUUUUCCCCUUCACAUUUGUGUUCAAUGACUUAGGCCUAUGAAGAGACCAACACUGUAAUUCUUUGGCAAAAGAGCAUGAUAUGUAAGAAUUUCUCAAAUGUACUUUGUCCCAAACACAGCUACUGUCACCACUUUGCUACUGUAGCAGCCAAACUCCUCUGGCCUGGAAGACAAUCAUCACUCCUUCUCUACCUGUGACUCUGUAAUCAGCUAGGAUGAUUGAAGUUUAUGUUUCACUAUUUGAUUGGGUGGAAACAUUUUUAGUGGACUAAGGAACUUGGAUGCAGAGGGAUAGGUUGCUCAGCCAGAGAUAGUAGUUUUGCACAAUCUAGUCCUAGGUAUACCAAAAAACCACCUGUGUGCAGGGGGAGAGAUCUCCUCUCUACAGGUACCAAGAGCACCCAGAUAGUAGUUCCCUUUUAAUUUUUAAUUUUUUAAUUAGUAUUUUUUAGUAACUCCCCUUUUAUAGCUAUAUCCUCUAGGACUAUUGUGUUUCCUCCUGCCCCUAUUCACCUUGGGGCUGCUGGCAGAGAAGGCUGUGAGAUUGAUGCUAAAUGAUAAUUGAGUUGAGUGUGCUACUGACAGAUUUACUGUCUGAUCAUGAACAAAUUAUUUUUUUCUCUGUGAGACUAUUUACCAUCUAUGUGAUAUUUAUUUAUUUUUUUCCAUCUAUGUGAUA